CAAAGGGAGCGAUUCCGGCAACGGAUGGGCAUGCGUGACAUUAGCUAGUUGGCGGGGCAACGGCCCACCAAGGCGACGAUGUCUAGGGGUUCUGAGAGGAAGGUCCCCCACACUGGUACUGAGACACGGACCAGACUCCUACGGGAGGCAGCAGUGAGGAAUAUUGGUCAAUGGGCGCGAGCCUGAACCAGCCAAGUCGCGUGAGGGAUGACGGCCCUACGGGUUGUAAACCUCUUUUGUCGGGGAGCAAAUUCCGCCACGUGUGGCGGAGUCGAGAGUACCCGAAGAAAAAGCAUCGGCUAACUCCGUGCCAGCAGCCGCGGUAAUACGGAGGAUGCGAGCGUUAUCCGGAUUUAUUGGGUUUAAAGGGUGCGUAGGCGGACUGUCAAGUCAGCGGUAAAAUACGGGGGCUCAACCUCCGCCCGCCGUUGAAACUGACGGUCUUGAGUGGGCGAGAAGUAUGCGGAAUGCGUGGUGUAGCGGUGAAAUGCAUAGAUAUCACGCAGAACUCCGAUUGCGAAGGCAGCAUACCGGCGCCCAACUGACGCUGAAGCACGAAAGCGUGGGUAUCGAACAGGAUUAGAUACCCUGGUAGUCCACGCAGUAAACGAUGAAUACUAGCUGUCCGGGGCGAAUGAGCCCUGG
rnacentral:rRNA from 1 species